AACUCUCGGCAAUGGAUAUCUCGGCUCUCGCAUCGAUGAUGAAUGUAGCAAAAUGCGAUACUUGGUGUGAAUUGCAGAAUUCCGCAAACCAUCGAGUCUUUGAACACAAGUUGCGCCCGAAGCCAUUAGGUGUAGGGCAUGUUUGCCUGGGCAUCU